AAUGCUGUGUGGAAAGCUUGUAACUUGCAAGGGAAUACGAGUCGGGUGAAAAACGACAACUUUAAGCAGAGGACGAGCAAAAAAAAGGCUGUGUACAUGUUUUUUUGUCAAAGAAAAAAAUAACACGAGUUGAGCUUUGACUUGUUUUACCGAGUUACUUGUCACAUAUAAAAUGCAAAGAAACAUCACAAUACUAAAAACCAGAUAUAGUUAGCAAUUAGACUGUCCACGUCUAAGGUGUGCGUUUGGCCUUUAAAAACAAUCAGAUCAUUUUUUUUCUGCUUCAAUGAAAAUCAUAUCGUUUGGCCUUUACAUUUGGGCUUAAUGUGUUUACGUUUAGGCUUUAUUAAACCCAAAACUAUGUCGCAACGCUAAAUCUACGACGCGGAGAUGCCGAGGCUCUUCUGCUCUGCCACUUCGUCUUCUCUCUUCUCCUCAAUCAUUUCGUCUUCUCCCCGUGAAACGAUUUCCAGUGAGUUCUGAUUCCUCCAUCAAUAGUCCAUAAUCAAUUUCUCCUUUAUGGUUUCGUUACAUCUCCCUCUUUUCCUCCUCCUUUAUAUACUACUUUCUUUCCUCUGUAAAAAUCAAACCCCUAAAAACACUCAAACCUCGAUCUAUGGCGAUGACACAAAAUGGGAAGUCAAUUGUCUCCUCCGAAUACGACGACAGAGUCAUGUUCUUCAAAGAUAUCUGUCACCACGAAUCUCAGUUGCGGUUUCGGCUCCUCCAUUUCUGGGAGGCUUGGAACCCAAUAAAGAAGACGUUUAUUGGCCUCGAGAUGCUGCUCAUCAACGAACAGGUACAGUAAACUGAGACUACUAAGCUUAUAUAAAUAUAUAGAUCUUCCCGGUUAUUUACUUAAAACGUUCAUUGCUUUAUUAUUUUUGUUGUGUUUAUGUGAUUCUUCGCAGGGAACAGUUAUUCAAGGAUUCAUCUCCCCAGGACGUAUUCAAACAUAUUUGAACUCAACAACUUCUAUGGAUCCAGAAACAAAACCGUGUUCCGGGUUUCUGAUCAUACCGCGACCGUGUCGUUCACAUGGAACUCAGAACUGUCGGUUCUUCAAGACGGCCAUGCUCCUUUUGAUGAAGACAGUUUCUGGUUUCAUUCGUAUGAAGAAUUUCAAGCUAGCUGUGAUCUCAAAGGAGACCUCUACGGUAAUCUCUGUAAUUCGCCACAUGUUUUCUUAGUUGCAUUGCUUGAUGAUUAGGUGUAGACUUUAGCCUUUGGUGAAGAAUGAAGUAAACGUUUGAAGAGUAUUCAUUUUUUGUGGUUUGACUUAGUCGUUUUCCGAAGUCAGUCUUGAAAUAAUCACAUUUUUUGCUAUGACUUAAUCGUUCUCUGAAGUAUGUAUUGAAAGAAUAAAAUUUAGAUGGUUGAAAAUCAUUUGUUCGGUUUGUAGCAUUAGGUAUCAGAACUUACUACUCUCAGCUCUUGGAUUUUGUUGAUCUGUUCAGUUUUUUAAACUGUUUUGGGUUUGCUUUAGUUGUUCUCUGAAGUCUGUCUUGAAAGAAUAAAAUUUAGAUGAUUGAAAUUCAUUUGUUCGGUUUGUAUCGUUAGGUACCAGAGCUUACUACUCUCAGCUCUUGGAUUUUAUUGAUCUGUUGAGUACUUUAAACUAUUUAUUUGUAGUAUUUUUACUUACACUCUUGAUGAACUAUGGAAUAGAUGUUGUUGGCCACAUGAAGUUGGUUAAUGGUCAGAGUACAAAGGAAGCCCCCGUUCUUGACGAAGUGGAGAUAGCAAAGUCGAGGCGUGUUCUGAUUCAUAUCCAAUCACAUGAGUAGGUUUACAUUAUUUUUUAAACACUUCUUCUCUCUACUCUUCUUAACCAUUCAGAAUCGUUUUUUACAGUGUACCUAUGAUGAAGCUCUACCUUUGGGACCAGGCUGCAAGAGACUUCUGCAAAAAGUUUAAGUCGUACGAAAAAACACCCACCGUGUUACUGGUCACAACCGUUAACGCAAAGACUCUCGGAGGUACAUAUUUCUAUCUUUAAUAUAAGUUUAUUACAGUUACGUAUCUGCAGUUUGUGUUUUUUAAUUGGUUUUCUUGAUACACUAGGUACUCUUGCCCUUGCCUCAAUGUCCACCCUACCAUAGAUUACUUUGGCUGGUUGGGCUCUAAUCCAGCUAUUGCUGAGUAGGUUAGUGCAGAGGUGGUAACUAAACGGGAGACAAUGACUAUAAGGGAAAUAUUUUCCUACAUCAAGCAGGAAUCUGCAAAGGAUGCCUUUUUUGAGUGCACGGCUACGAUCGAUGACGUCGUGCAUGACUCUGGUUGGUACUACAUCGCAUGCAGUGGGUGCAAUACUAAGGUUACGAACGGGGCAACUUCGAUGAUUUGUACAAACAGCAAGUGUGGGAAGAUUAACGUGGCUGGAGUUGCACAGUACCGUUCAAAGAUAUCAGUCUAUGAUAACAGUGGGAAAGCUUUUUUGUACUACUUGGUGAUGCUGGUCGGGAGUUGACCGGAAAGCCAGCAUCAGAAUUAGUUAGAAACUAUUUCGAGGCUAACGGAAACGAAGAAGGUAACCAUGAGGCGCCUGUCCUGGAAGCUUUGAUCAGCACCAUCGGCCAAAGACAUAAGUUUUGUGUCAAGGUGACAGAGCACAACUUAUCAGGCAAGACCCGGUCUCUUACUGUGACCAAGAUCCUCCCUCUAGACACUCCACCAGCCACAAUGUCAUCGGAAGAAGACCACACUACUGCAACUUCGGAGGAAGCAUUCAAAAGGCGUCUGGAUUCUGCAGAUGGGAGUAAGAGGACUUGUGGCAGUGAUGAGAUAGAGGAGGCUAAACGCCUGAAGUGUUGGAACUAGAGCUUCCGUAAAUCUACUAAAAUUUGCAUGGUUAUUUGCAGAUUGAGUAUUUGUUUCCAGUUUCGUUUUUGGUUCAUGCUUUCCUUUCAGUAUAACUUUCGAGAGUUUUAUUUCUUUGCAACAUGUUAUCUACUUUGAAAGAUUGCGAGUUACUAAACAGGUUUUAUGCACUGUUACUCUGCUUUAGGAUUACUCUGCUUAGAUAAAUAUUUAGAGAUCUACAAUAAUUUCAAUGAUAUAGUUUGAGUAACAAAUAUGACAGGCCAGGCUUACAUUUGCAUAUUGAAAAUGAUAUUGUCACUGCAUGAAUCCGCAUGAAAGUUUGUCAUAUUUUUCAAAUAAUCCUUCCAGCAACGUAAAAAAAACUUCCAUUGAGGCUAACAUUUUUUAAUAUUCAGAGUAUCUAAUUCAAUAAAUAAGAAAUAUUCCCCUAAAGCGUUUAUGGUAAGAGUAUCAUUGAGGUUUCCUUUUUCCAUCAAGGAAUUACGUAAUCAACGAAGAAAACCAAACUUACU